CCCUUAGAUGUCCUGGGCCGCACGCGCGCUACACUGAGUAUCUGAGAUACGAGUCUGCCUGGUCCGGCAAGGUCUAGGUAAUCGCUAAAAGACACAUCAUGCUUGGGAUAGAUUAUUGCAAAUAUUAAUCUUGAACGAGGAAUUCCUAGUAAGCGCAAGUCAACAGCUUGCGUUGAUUACGUCCCUGCCCUUUGUACACACCGCCCGUCGCUACUACUGAUUGGAUGUUUAAGCGAGGUUCUCGAACUGCUAGCGACUUAGCUUCGGUGAGGUCGCAGUGUGGGAAGUGAACCUAGCUUUGGUGUCUAGAGGAAGUAAAAGUCGUAACA
rnacentral:rRNA from 1 species